rnacentral:rRNA from 1 species
GACGAACGCUGGCGGCGUGCCUAAUACAUGCAAGUUGAGCGCUGAAGGUUGGUACUUGUACCAACUGGAUGAGCAGCGAACGGGUGAGUAACGCGUGGGGAAUCUGCCUUUGAGCGGGGGACAACAUUUGGAAACGAAUGCUAAUACCGCAUAAAAACUUUAAACACAAGUUUUAAGUUUGAAAGAUGCAAUUGCAUCACUCAAAGAUGAUCCCGCGUUGUAUUAGCUAGUUGGUGAGGUAAAGGCUCACCGAGGCGAUGAUACAUAGCCGACCUGAGAGGGUGAUCGGCCACAUUGGGACUGAGACACGGCCCAACCUCCUACGGGAGGCAGCAGGAGGGAAUCUUCGGCAAUGGACGAAAGUCUGACCGAGCAACGCCGCGUGAGUGAAGAAUGUUUUCGGAUCGUAAAACUCUGUUGGUAGGGAAGAACGUUGGUGAGAGUGGAAAGCUCAUCAAGUGACGGUAACUACACAGAAAGGGACGGCUAACUACGUG